rnacentral:rRNA from 1 species
GAUGAACGCUAGCUACAGGCUUAACACAUGCAAGUCGAGGGGCAGCAUGGUCUUAGCUUGCUAAGGCUGAUGGCGACCGGCGCACGGGUGAGUAACACGUAUCCAACCUGCCGUCUACUCUUGGCCAGCCUUCUGAAAGGAAGAUUAAUCCAGGAUGGGAUCAUGAGUUCACAUGUCCGCAUGAUUAAAGGUAUUUUCCGGUAGACGAUGGGGAUGCGUUCCAUUAGAUAGUAGGCGGGGUAACGGCCCACCUAGUCAACGAUGGAUAGGGGUUCUGAGAGGAAGGUCCCCCACAUUGGAACUGAGACACGGUCCAAACUCCUACGGGAGGCAGCAGUGAGGAAUAUUGGUCAAUGGGCGAUGGCCUGAACCAGCCAAGUAGCGUGAAGGAUGACUGCCCUAUGGGUUGUAAACUUCUUUUAUAAAGGAAUAAAGUCGGGUAUGCAUACCCGUUUGCAUGUACUUUAUGAAUAAGGAUCGGCUAACUCCGUGCCAGCAGCCGCGGUAAUACGGAGGAUCCGAGCGUUAUCCGGAUUUAUUGGGUUUAAAGGGAGCGUAGAUGGAUGUUUAAGUCAGUUGUGAAAGUUUGCGGCUCAACCGUAAAAUUGCAGUUGAUACUGGAUGUCUUGAGUGCAGUUGAGGCAGGCGGAAUUCGUGGUGUAGCGGUGAAAUGCUUAGAUAUCACGAAGAACUCCGAUUGCGAAGGCAGCCUGCUAAGCUGCAACUGACAUUGAGGCUCGAAAGUGUGGGUAUCAAAACAGGAUUAGAUACCCUGGUAGUCCACACGGUAAACGAUGAAUACUCGCUGUUUGCGAUAUACGGCAAGCGGCCAAGCGAAAGCGUUAAGUAUUCCACCUGGGGAGUACGCCGGCAACGGUGAAAACUCAAAGGAAUUGACGGGGGCCCGCACAAGCAGUGGAGUAUGUGGUUUAAUUCGACGCAAACGCGAAGAACCUUACCAAGUCUUGACAUCCUGCGACGAUGCUAGAAAUAGUAUUUUCCUUCGGGACGCAGAGACAGGUGGUGCAUGGUUGUCGUCAGCUCGUGUCGUGAGAUGUUGGGUUAAGUCCCGCAACGAGCGCAACCCUUAUGGUCAGUUACUACGCAAGAGGACUCUGGCCAGACUGCCGUUGACAAAACGGAGGAAGGUGGGGAUGACGUCAAAUCAUCAUGCCCUUUAUGACUUGGGCUACACACGUACUACAAAUGGCGUUAAACAAGGAGAAGCAAGACCGGGAGGUGGAGCAAAAACUCAGAAACAACGUCCCAGUUCGGACUGCGGGCUGCGAACUCGCCUGCAGAAAUUCGAAAUUGCUAGUAAUCGUGAAUCAGCAUGCCACGGUGAAUACGUUCCCGGCCCU